rnacentral:lncRNA from 1 species
UUCUGAGCUAUGUGGGCUCAUGUCCUCAGCCUCAUCAGGAAAGCGGCAACAAUCUCCUUCCUUCCCUUCUUCUCCAGCUUAUUGGAAUUCAUGGAGACCAGUAGGCUGUCCCCAAGAUGCCUGAAUGACCAGUGAGAAAUUCAAAAGUUGGAUGGAAUUAAGGGAUCGUUGUGCUUUCCUGUCUCAUCGCAGCAUGUGUUGCCAGGGCUGCAGGCGAGGAACGUGUGAUUCAGGAAGACUUCUCAGAAAUUACAUAGCAUCUGACUCUCAUCUUGCAGUCUUUUGACAACCUUCCUAUCA